AGUGAACGCUGGCGGUAGGCCUAACACAUGCCAGUCGAACGGCAGCACAGUAAGAGCUUGCUCUUACGGGUGGCGAGUGGCGGACGGGUGAGGAAUACAUCGGAAUCUACUUUUUCGUGGGGGAUAACGUAGGGAAACUUACGCUAAUACCGCAUACGACCUACGGGUGAAAGCAGGGGAUCUUCGGACCUUGCGCGAUUGAAUGAGCCGAUGUCGGAUUAGCUAGUUGGCGGGGUAAAGGCCCACCAAGGCGACGAUCCGUAGCUGGUCUGAGAGGAUGAUCAGCCACACGGGAACUGAGACACGGUCCAGACACCUACGGGAGGCAGCAGUGGGGAAUAUUGGACAAUGGGCGCAAGCCUGAUCCAGCCAUACCGCGUGAGGGAAGAAGGCCUUCGGGUUGUAAAGCCCUUUUGUUGGGAAAGAAAAGCAGCAGGUUAAUACCCCGCUGUUCUGACGGUACCCAAAGAAUAAGCACCGGCUAACUUCGUG
rnacentral:rRNA from 1 species